rnacentral:rRNA from 1 species
UACAGAGGGUGCAAGCGUUGUUCGGAAUUACUGGGCGUAAAGGGCGCGUAGGCGGCCUGCUAAGUCGGACGUGAAAUCCCUCGGCUCAACCGAGGAACUGCGUCCGAUACUGGUGGGCUUGAAUCCGGGAGAGGGAUGUGGAAUUCCAGGUGUAGCGGUGAAAUGCGUAGAUAUCUGGAGGAACACCGGUGGCGAAGGCGGCAUCCUGGACCGGUAUUGACGCUGAGGCGCGAAAAGCUAGGGGAGCAAACGGGG